CGGACGGGUGAGUAACGCGUGAGAACCUACCCUUAGGAGAGGGAUACCAACUGGAAACGGUUGUUAAUACCUCAUGUGCUGAGGAGUGAAACGGUUUACAAACCGCCUAGGGAUGGGCUUGCGUCUGAUUAGCUAGUUGGUGGGGCAAAGGCCCACCAAGGCGAUGAUCAGUAGCUGGUCUGAGAGGACAAUCAGCCACACUGGGACUGAGACACGGCCCAGACUCCUACGGGAGGCAGCAGUGAGGAAUUUUCCGCAAUGGGCGAAAGCCUGACGGAGCAAUGCCGCGUGGAGGAAGACGGCCCGUGGGUUGUAAACUCCUUUUCUCAGAGAAGAAGUUCUGACGGUAUCUGAGGAAUAAGCAUCGGCUAACUCCGUGCCAGCAGCCGCGGUAAUACGGAGGAUGCAAGCGUUAUCCGGAAUCAUUGGGCGUAAAGGGUCCUGAGGUGGUUUGCCCAGUCUACUGUGAAAGAUCAGGGCUCAACCCUGAAAAUGCGGUGGAAACUAGCAGGCUAGAAUACGGUAGGGGCAGGGGGGAUUCCCGGUGUAGCGGUGAAAUGCAUAGAUAUCGGGAAGAACACCAAUGGCGAAAGCACCCUGCUGGGCCGAUAUUGACACUGACAGACGAAAGCUAGGGGAGCAAAUGGGAUUAGAUACCCCAGUAGUC
rnacentral:rRNA from 1 species